GCGGUUUUCUGCAGAGCCAAUGAGGGAUGAAGAGUAUAACCCCUCAUACUAUGAUCAGUUUUUGGAAGAUGGUGGUGGUGAUUUGAACUAUUCCAGAUAUCCCGUAAGAUGCAGUCAUGGAAAAGGCUGGCCGCAACAACGUAAAAGCUCAAGAAUACCUUUUUCUGCAGAGGUUUCACAUUACAGGCACCCAGCUGAUUGCCUGUGUU
rnacentral:misc_RNA from 1 species